rnacentral:rRNA from 1 species
GAUGAACGCUGGCGGCGUGCCUAAUACAUGCAAGUCGAGCGAACGGACGAGAAGCUUGCUUCUCUGAUGUUAGCGGCGGACGGGUGAGUAACACGUGGAUAACCUACCUAUAAGACUGGGAUAACUUCGGGAAACCGGAGCUAGUACCGGAUAAUAUUUUGAACCGCAUGGUUCAAAAGUGAAAGACGGUCUUGCUGUCACUUAUAGAUGGAUCCGCGCUGCAUUAGCUAGUUGGUAAGGUAACGGCUUACCAAGGCAACGAUGCAUAGCCGACCUGAGAGGGUGAUCGGCCACACUGGAACUGAGACACGGUCCAGACUCCCACGGGAGGCAGCAGUAGGGAAUCUUCCGCAAUGGGCGAAAGCCUGACGGAGCAACGCCGCGUGAGUGAUGAAGGUCUUCGGAUCGUAAAACUCUGUUAUUAGGGAAGAACAUAUGUGUAAGUAACUGUGCACAUCUUGACGGUACCUAAUCAGAAAGCCACGGCUAACUACGUG